rnacentral:lncRNA from 12 species
UCUAACAGUUUUACAUUUCCUUCAGUGACCGGUGUCCAGGCCUGUGCUUAGGCUUGCCAGGAGGAGGCUGCUUUGAGGGAGUGAAGGUCUGGGCUUUGCUCACUGGGGAGCUCAUGCUUCCCACUGCUGCAUUUCAAUCCCCAGAGCUGUUACCCACUCCUGCAUUUCAUCCCCAGAGCUGUUACCCACUCCUGCAUUUCAUCCCCAGAGCUGUUACCCACUCCUGCAUUUCAUCCCCAGAGCUGUUACCCACUCCUGCAUUUCAUCCCCAGAUCUGUUCCCCUGCUGCCAUCCCCUUUUGCAGCCCUGCUCAGCUGCAGUGUGGUGGGUAUGGACACCUCUGUAGGUUUCAUUCAGAAGCCCCCAAAGCCUGAAUUAGCUUGUUCAAAAAAUGCUCAGAGAACUGAGCAUGUCUGAAUGACAUAUUCUCCCUGACAAUAGUAAAUUAGCACAUUUUUAUCUCUAAAUCAUCUCAGAUAUUUCAAUGAUGAGCAAGUACUUGCAGAUUCAUUUCUGCUUAUCCUUGCUGACUCUCAA